CGGCGGACGGGUGAGUAACGCGUGGACAACCUGCCCUAUGCAGGGGGAUAACAUCCGGAAACGGGUGCUAAUACCGCAUAAGCGCACAGUACCGCAUGGUACAGUGUGAAAAGCUGAGGCGGCAUAGGAUGGGUCCGCGUUGGAUUAGGCAGUUGGCGGGGUAACGGCCCACCAAACCGACGAUCCAUAGCCGGCCUGAGAGGGUGGACGGCCACAUUGGGACUGAGACACGGCCCAGACUCCUACGGGAGGCAGCAG
rnacentral:rRNA from 1 species